rnacentral:rRNA from 1 species
AUUGAACGCUGGCGGCAGGCCUAACACAUGCAAGUCGAGCGGAUGAAGGGAGCUUGCUCCUGGAUUCAGCGGCGGACGGGUGAGUAAUGCCUAGGAAUCUGCCUGGUAGUGGGGGAUAACGUCCGGAAACGGGCGCUAAUACCGCAUACGUCCUGAGGGAGAAAGUGGGGGAUCUUCGGACCUCACGCUAUCAGAUGAGACUAGGUCGGAUUAGCUAGUUGGUGGGGUAAAGGCCUACCAAGGCGACGAUCCGUAACUGGUCUGAGAGGAUGAUCAGUCAGACUGGAACUGGGACACGGUCCAGACUCCUACGGGAGGCAGCAGAGGGGAAUAUUGGACAAUGGGCGGAAGCAUGAUCCAGCCAUGCCGCGUGUGUGAAGAAGGUCUUCGGAUUGUAAAGCACUUUAAGUUGGGAGGAAGGGCAGUAAGUUAAUACCUUGCUGUUUUGACGUCACCGACAGAAUAAGCACCGGCUAACUUCGUG